GCCUCAGACAUGCAAGUCGAACGAUUAAGACUCCCUUCGGGGAGUGCAUAAAGUGGCGCACGGGUGAGUAACACGUAAGUAAUCUACCUUCGAGUGGGGAAUAACGUUCGGAAACGAACGCUAAUACCGCAUAAUGCAGCGGCAUCGCAAGAUGACAGUUGUUAAAGAUUUAUCGCUUGAAGAGGAGCUUGCGGCAGAUUAGCUAGUUGGUAAGGUAACGGCUUACCAAGGCGACGAUCUGUAUCCGGUCUAAGAGGACGGUCGGACACACUGACACUGAAUAACGGGUCAGACUCCUACGGGAGGCAGCAGUCGGGAAUUUUGGGCAAUGGGCGAAAGCCUGACCCAGCAACGCCGCGUGAAGGAUGAAGUUUUUCGGAAUGUAAACUUCGAAAGAAUAGGAAGAAUAAAUGACGGUACUAUUUAUAAGGUCCGGCUAACUACGUGCCAGCAGCCGCGGUAAUACGUAGGGACCAAGCGUUGUUCGGAUUUACUGGGCGUAAAGGGCGCGUAGGCGGCAAUUCAAGUCAGCUGUGAAAUCUCCGAGCUUAACUCGGAACGGUCAGCUGAUACUGCUUUGCUAGAGUACAGAAGGGGCAAUCGGAAUUCUUGGUGUAGCGGUGAAAUGCGUAGAUAUCAAGAGGAACACCUGAGGUGAAGACGGGUUGCUGGGCUGAUACUGACGCUGAGGCGCGAAAGCUAGGGUAGCAAACGGGAUUAGAUACCCCGGUAGUCCUAGCCCUAAACGAUGAAUACUUGGUGUCUGGAGUUUUUAUCCUCCGGGUGCCGUCGCUAACGUUUUAAGUAUUCCGCCUGGGGAGUACGCACGCAAGUGUGAAACUCAAAGGAAUUGACGGGGACCCGCACAAGCGGUGGAGCAUGUGGUUUAAUUCGACGCAACGCGAAGAACCUUACCUGGACUAGAAUGNGAGGGAAGGAC
rnacentral:rRNA from 1 species